GGCUCUUUGAUAGAAGUAAUGAUAAGGAGUCGGACCUGCCCAGUGAAAAGUUUUAACGGCCGCGGUACUCUGACCGUGCAAAGGUAGCAUAAUCAUUUGCCUUAUAAUUGAAGGCUUGUAUGAAUGGUUUGACAAGAAUAUAGCUGUCUCUGUGUAAUUUUAUAGAAUUUUAUCUUGAAGUGAAGAAGCUUGAAUAAUAUUAAUAGACAAGAAGACCCUAUCGAGCUUGAAAAGAGUUAAUAGAAGUAUUAAAAUAGAUCUAAAAAAUAGUCUAUAAUAAAUUUUGGUUGGGGCGACUUAGGAACAAAAAAAGCUUCCUAAAUUUAUAAAGGAAAACAAAAAUGAUCCAAAAUGUUUUGAUUAAGGAAAUUAGUUACCGUAGGGAUAACAGCAUUAUCCUUUUUGAGAGUUCAUAUCGAAAAGAGGGUUUGUGACCUCGAUGUUGGACCAGAAUAUCCUGAAGAUGUAGCAGUCUUCGAGGGUUGGUCUGUUCGACCAUUAAAAUUCUACG
rnacentral:rRNA from 1 species